AGCAGGGCCUUUUUUAAGGAUUUUCCCGUGGGGGGGGGGGCAUUUUUUGAAAAGGGACCUUUCUGUGAGAUAAUAUAUUAGAGGGGGAUAGCAAUGGCUGAAAGCCACGUGUGUGGAAAAUAUACCACGCAUGAAUGGGGUGUCUGGGGGUGUACUCCCCCAGAAAAUUUUUGAAAUUUGACUCCCGGAAAUGUCAUUUCAUGCAUUCUGAGCAUCCAAAUUUGCUCCAAAAUUUAUCCUAACUGUACUUGUAUUUGAAAUAAAUAAAGGAAGAAACGCACAAAAAGUAAAAAAAAAUUAACCAUCAUUUAUCAUUACUUAUUAGAGGAGGAUAGCAAUGGUCAGGUGUGUGGGGUGUACUCCCCCAGAAAAUUUUUGAAAUUUGAAGCACGGAAAUGCCAUUUCCUGCAUUCUGAGCAUUCAAAUUUGCUCUAAAAUUUAUGCUAACUAUACUUGUAUUUCAAAUAAAAGAUGGAAAAAAUGCACAAAAAGUAAAAAAGAAUAUUAACUGUAAUUUCUCAUUACUUAUUAGAGGGAUAAUCCCCAGAAAAUUUUUGAAAUUUGAAACCCGGAAAUGCUAUUUCCUGCAUUCUGAGCAU